CACACGGGGUAGGUGGUAUCCACACACACACACACACACGGUAGGUGGUAUCCACACACACACACACGGGGUAGGUGGUAUCCACACACACACACACACACGGUAGGUGGUGGUAUCCACACACACACACACACGGGGUAGGUGGUAUCCACACACGCACACGGGGUAGGUGGUAUCCACACACACACACGGGGUAGGUGGUAUCCACACACACACACACGGUAGGUGGUAUCCACACACACACACACGGGGUAGGUGGUAUCCACACACACACACGGGGUAGGUGGUAUCCACACACACACACACACACAGGUGGUAUCCACACACACACACACACGGUAGGUGGUAUCCACACACACACACACACACACACACACA
ensembl:lncRNA